rnacentral:rRNA from 1 species
UACGUAGGGACCAAGCGUUGUUCGGAUUUACUGGGCGUAAAGGGCGCGUAGGCGGCCUAGCAAGUCACUUGUGAAAUCUCCGGGCUUAACUCGGAACUGCCAAGUGAAACUGCUGGGCUAGAGUGCAGAAGGGGCAAUCGGAAUUCUUGGUGUAGCGGUGAAAUGCGUAGAUAUCAAGAGGAACACCUGAGGUGAAGACGGGUUGCUGGGCUGACACUGACGCUGAGGCGCGAAAGCCAGGGGGAGCAAACGGG